GGCUGUCGUCAGCUCGUGUCGUGAGAUGUUGGGUUAAGUCCGCAACGAGCGUUUUUCAACCCUUGUCAUUAGUUGCUACAUUCAGUUGGGCACUCUAAUGAGACUACCGGUGGCAAACCGGAGGAAGGUGGGGAUGACGUCAAGUCCUCAUGGCCCUUAUAGGUGGGGCUACACACGUCAUACAAUGGAUGGUACAAAGGGUCGCCAACCCGCGAGGGGGGAGCCAAUCCCAUAAAGCCAUUCGUAGUCCGGAUCGCAGUCUGCAACUCGACUGCGUGAAGUCGGAAUCGCUAGUAAUCGUGGAUCAGAAUGUCACGGUGAAUACGUUCCCGGGUCUU
rnacentral:rRNA from 1 species